rnacentral:rRNA from 1 species
CUAAGGUAGCGCAAUCAAUCGUCCUUUAAUUGGGGAAAGGUAUGAAGGAUUGACGUGGAAAGUCUUUAUUAAGAGUAUAUAUUGAAUUUUACAUUUUGGUGCAAAGGCUAAGAUAAUAUUGUUAGACGAGAAGACCCUAUUGAGCUUGGUAUAAUUCUUAGGUAAGUUUACUUAUUUAAGGGUAGCAUGUUUUUUCGGGAAAGCUAGGGAGGAAAAACUAUGCCUCCCUUUUUAAUAUGCAGAUCCAGCAUGGCUGAUAAAAAGAAGAUAGUUACCAUAGGGAUAACAGCACAAUCGCCCCGACGAGGUCUUAUUUGAGGGGCGGUUUGU